CCUAACACAUGCAAGUCGAACGGUAACAGGAAGAAGCUUAGCUUCUUUGCUGACGAGUGGCGGACGGGUGAGUAAUGUCUGGGAAACUGCCUGAUGGAGGGGGAUAACUACUGGAAACGGUAGCUAAUACCGCAUAACGUCGCAAGACCAAAGAGGGGGACCUUCGGGCCUCUUGCCAUCGGAUGUGCCCAGAUGGGAUUAGCUAGUAGGUGGGGUAACGGCUCACCUAGGCGACGAUCCCUAGCUGGUCUGAGAGGAUGACCAGCCACACUGGAACUGAGACACGGUCCAGACUCCUACGGGAGGCAGCAGUGGGGAAUAUUGCACAAUGGGCGCAAGCCUGAUGCAGCCAUGCCGCGUGUAUGAAGAAGGCCUUCGGGUUGUAA
rnacentral:rRNA from 1 species